rnacentral:lncRNA from 1 species
UGACCAUCAUAACCAAAUUACAUAGAAUUUUUUGUUUUUGUUAUAAAACAUGUUUCACAAUCAUUGAAAUUAGGGAAUGGGUGAUCCUAUUGAUGAAUCUAUUUACUAAUUUGUAUGUGAAAACAUUUCAUCAUUCCUGACACUUUUGCUUUUGUUUCACAUUUAUAUUAAUAAACAAUAUUAAUAAUUUUGAUUUAAUAUUCCAUGGAGCACAGCUAAAUAUACUUUAUCAGACGGAUGAAAUCACAAUUUGUACACAGUGACACAUUUAUGAAGUAAAAGUUCUGUGAAACAUCCUCUUUUCAGUGAUCACAAUUAGGACACAAUAUCACAUAUCAUAUGUAUUCCACUUUCUUAUAAAAUUUUUCCUUUGUUUGAUCAUGAACUAACACAUGUUCCAGAAUCAUUGCA